CUCGCGGCCUCCUCCGGGUCCCGCGCUAACCAGGCCCCGCGCCGCGGGUGCCCCGCCGGGCCCGCGCGCCAAGGUCGCAAGUCUCCACGCCGCGCUUGACCUGGCGGCAGCACCGUACUUGACAGCGUAUUGUCGCCAACACCACCCCACCAGCAUCCCGGCCAAGCGCUGCUCCCGCAAACUUUCUAGACGAACAAUGCCAUGCAAAGGGACUGCCUGACAAUAUCCCCAUAUAACAAAUACCACCUUGAAAGGGAUGCUGACCUCCACCUCCGAGUGUAAAACAACCUCAAAGAAUUUCCCAGGAAUAAAACUACCAUGCAGUCUUCAGGAAGAUGUGGCUUUGUCUCCGUUAGAACUUUACCAAGGAUCAUUCACCAUUCAGAACAUCUCAUCCUGUUGGCCACCUGGCUGGUGUGAGCUGAGUUACUAACAAAAUACUCCAGCGCAGAGCCUCCAUUUCCGGUUCUCCGUCGCCAGUGAUUCAUGGGCAUCUGCAAGCUUCUGUUCUCUCGUGGAGUCAAGCCUGAGCUUUUGCACACAGAAAUACAUUUUAUUUCAUUCUAAAUUACUUUCUUUUAUUUUUCCUCUCUAUUACAGUUUGAAUUUAAUACAGAUUUUUUUAAACGUGCAUAGGAAAUUACACUCUGUGAAUUUCACUUCUGAAAAUGUAUUGAAGGAGAGUUACAAACUACAUUACCAAACGAAGACUUUGGAUCUGAUUCUGUUGAGAACCUCACGAGCUCACCAAGCACCAGUGGUCGCAUGCAGUGUCAUUGCCUUCUGGGGCUGCAGGUUCUGCUUCUCAGCAUGCCCGAGGCUGCCUGGAGCAUGUCAGCCUCCAGAAAAGCGUGGCCAUGCCAGGGCUGAGCCCGUGUCUCAGUGACGCAAACUGAGGAGGAGCCAUCCCAGCUGGGCCUGGAACAAAGGCCUGACCUGUGUUCGUCUCCCUCUCUCUCUCUCUCUCUCUCUCUUUUUGAUUUACUGAGUGUUUCCCUCUCUUUUUCUCUUUUUAAAAAUGUUUCAGUGUUGUAUGCCAAAUACCGUUGUAGGUACUGGGAUAUAGCAGGGAACAAGCCACACUGGGUCCCUGCUCACACUUUUUAGUGCAGGAGACAAACACACAAACAAGUAAAUAAACAAGACAAUUGCAGACAGGAAGGACAUGAGGUUUAGUGCCUGUGAAGGCACUAAAACAGGUCACGUGAUGGAGAGGGCCUAAGACGGCCUAGAACAAGGGAGAAGUGGGGGGUCAGGAAACAUUGAUGGAGAUUAACCCAUAGUGAAGGCUUGGCCCUCCGCCAAGCAGGCUGGGAUGAAGGAAAGUGCUCAGAUGAGAGCUGGGCACUCACACUGAAAGAAAAACUUGCAUUGAAAAGAACAACUAUGAUGGUUACGAACACAGGCUCUGGACCAGACCUGUAUUCAAUUUCUGGCUUCUCCCCUUUCCAACUACACAAGCCCAGGAAAGUUGCUUAACCUCUGAGUCUUCCUUCUUUCAUUGUAAGAUGGAGAUGGUAACUGUACCUACCUCACAAGGCUGUGUCAAAGAUUAAAGGAGAGCUUAGUACAGAACCUGGCACAAUGUGAGUCUCAAUAAACAUUAGCCAGACCUACUUUUUAAAAACAUGGAAAUCAAGUAUACCAGCAACCAUCCUAACAUAAGAAAUUGAAUUAAAGUCCCCUGAUGUGCAUUUGAGUACAGAUUUCUCUGCUAACUUGUUGGGGGCAUUUGUCUCUUUUCUGGGCCUUGUUUUCAUCAUUUUUGAAAUGGAAAGAAUAAUACUCUUGGCCCUACUUCCCUUCCGGCACUGCUGAGAG